rnacentral:rRNA from 1 species
CGAAGCGAACCGAGGGAACUGAAACAUCUCAGUACCUCGAGGAAAAGAAAUCAACCGAGAUUCCCCUAGUAGCGGCGAGCGAACGGGGAGCAGCCCAGAGUCUUAAUCAGCAUUAGCAUCAGGAGAACAGUCUGGAAAGGCUGGCAGUAAAGGGUGAUAGCCCCGUAUCCGAAGGUGUUAGUGUUGUGAACUCGACGAGUAGGGCGGGACACGUGUUAUCCUGUCUGAAUAUGGGGGGACCAUCCUCCAAGGCUAAAUACUCCUGAUUGACCGAUAGUGAACCAGUACCGUGAGGGAAAGGCGAAAAGAACCCCGGCGAGGGGAGUGAAAUAGAACCUGAAACCGUGUACGUACAAGCAGUGGGAGCACCCUUUGGGGUGUGACUGCGUACCUUUUGUAUAAUGGGUCAGCGACUUAUAUUCUGUAGCAAGGUUAACCGUAUAGGGGAGCCGUAGGGAAACCGAGUCUUAACUGGGCGAAUGAGUUGCAGGGUAUAGACCCGAAACCCGGUGAUCUAGCCAUGGGCAGGUUGAAG